rnacentral:rRNA from 1 species
CCUACGGGCGGCAGCAGUAGGGAAUAUUGCUCAAUGGGGGAAACCCUGAAGCAGCAACGCCGCGUGGAGGAUGAAGGUUUUCGGAUUGUAAACUCCUUUUGUUAGAGAAGAUAAUGACGGUAUCUAACGAAUAAGCACCGGCUAACUCCGUGCCAGCAGCCGCGGUAAUACGGAGGGUGCAAGCGUUACUCGGAAUCAAUGGGCGUAAAGGGCGCGUAGGCGGGAUAGCAAGUCAGAUGUGAAAUCCUAUGGCUUAACCAUAGAACUGCAUUUGAAACUGUUAUUCUAGAGUAUGGGAGAGGUAGGUGGAAUUCUUGGUGUAGGGGUAAAAUCCGUAGAGAUAAAGAGGAAUACUCAUUGCGAAGGCGACCUGCUAGAACAUAACUGACGCUGAUGCGCGAAAGCGUGGGGAGCAAACAGGAUUAGAUACCCCGGUAGUC